CGCUAGCGGGAUGCCUUACACAUGCAAGUCGAACGGCAGCACGGACUUCGGUCUGGUGGCGAGUGGCGAACGGGUGAGUAAUGUAUCGGAACGUGCCCAGUAGCGGGGGAUAACUACGCGAAAGCGUAGCUAAUACCGCAUACGCCCUACGGGGGAAAGCAGGGGAUCGCAAGACCUUGCACUAUUGGAGCGGCCGAUAUCGGAUUAGCUAGUUGGUGGGGUAACGGCUCACCAAGGCGACGAUCCGUAGCUGGUUUGAGAGGACGACCAGCCACACUGGGAUUGAGACACGGCCCAGACUCCUACGGGAGGCAGCAGUGGGGAAUUUUGGACAAUGGGGGAAACCCUGAUCCAGCCAUCCCGCGUGUGCGAUGAAGGCCUUCGGGUUGUAAAGCACUUUUGGCAGGAAAGAAACGUCGUGGGUUAAUACCCCGCGAAACUGACGGUACCUGCAGAAUAAGCACCGGCUAACUACGUGCCAGCAGCCGCGGUAAUACGUAGGGUGCAAGCGUUAAUCGGAAUUACUGGGCGUAAAGCGUGCGCAGGCGGUUCGGAAAGAAAGAUGUGAAAUUCCAGAGCUUAACUUUGGAACUGCAUUUUUAACUACCGGGCUAGAGUGUGUCAGAGGGAGGUGGAAUUCCGCGUGUAGCAGUGAAAUGCGUAGAUAUGCGGAGGAACACCGAUGGCGAAGGCAGCCUCCUGGGAUAACACUGACGCUCAUGCACGAAAGCGUGGGGAGCAAACAGGAUUAGAUACCCUGGUAGUCCACGCCCUAAACGAUGUCAACUAGCUGUUGGGGCCUUCGGGCCUUGGUAGCGCAGCUAACGCGUGAAGUGACCG
rnacentral:rRNA from 1 species